rnacentral:rRNA from 1 species
GGAUUGGGAGGGUUCUACGGAACCCGUUUGGUGAACCUAGUGCCGAGAAAAGCCUUCUAUGUGUUGAAUUUCUAGUACCCGUACCCCAAACCGACACAGGUGGGUGGGUAGAGCAUACCUAGGGGCGCGUGAUAACUCUCUCUAAGGAACUCGGCAAAAUGGCCCUGUAACUUCGGGAUAAGGGGUGCCUGCGUGAGCAGGCCGCAGUGAAAUGGCUCUGGCGACUGUUUACCAAAAACACAGGUCUCUGCUAAGUCGUAAGACGAUGUAUAGGGGCUGACUCCUGCCCAGUGCCGGAAGGUUAAGGAAGUUGGUUAGCGCAAGCGAAGCUGGCGACCGAAGCCCCGGUGAACGGCGGCCGUAACUAUAACGGUCCUAAGGUAGCGAAAUUCCUUGUCGGGUAAGUUCCGACCCGCACGAAAGGAGUAACGAUCAGAGCGCUGUCUCGGAGAGAGACACGGCGAAAUAGGAUUGUCCGUGAAGAUACGGACUACCUGCACCCGGACAGAAAGACCCUAUGAAGCUUUACUGUAACUUGGAAUUGUGUUCGGACUUUGUCUGCGCAGAAUAGGUGGGAGGCUAUGAAACGUUCCUCGCGGGGAACUGGAGCCAUCGUUGAGAUACCACUCUGGCAGAGUCUGGAUUCUAACCUACGGGGACAGUUCCAGGUGGGCAGUUUGACUGGGGCGGUCGCCUCCUAAAAUGCAACGGAGGCGCGCAAAGGUUCCCUCAGGCUGGUUGGAAAUCAGCCAUAGAGUGUAAAAGCAUAAGGGAGCUUGACUGUGAGACCUACAAGUCGAGCAGGGACGAAAGUCGGCUUUAGUGAUCCGACGGCACUGAGUGGAAGGGCCGUCGCUCAACGGAUAAAAGUUACUCUAGGAUAACAGGCUGAUCUCCCCCAAGAGUUCACAUCGACGGGGAGGUUUGGCACCUCGAUGUCGGCUCGUCGCAACCUGGGGCGGUAGUACGUCCCAAGGGUUGGGCUGUUCGCCCAUUAAAGCGGCACGUGAGCUGGGUUCAGAACGUCGUGAGACAGUUCGGUCCAUAUCCGGUGUAGGCGUAGGAGCAUUGAAAGGAUCUCUCCUUAGUACGAGAGGACCGGGAGGGACGUACCUCUGGUGUACCUGUUAUCGUGCCAACGGUAAACGCAGGGUAGCCAUGUACGGAGUGGAUAACCGCUGAAAGCAUCUAAGUGGGAAGCCCACCUUAAGAUGAGUGCUCCCUUGAGGCCACGGGAAGACGACCCGUUUGAUAGGCGCUAGGUGGAAGUGCAGUAAUGCAUGCAGCCGAGGCGUACUAAUAGGCCGAUGGC